AGUGUGGCUCAGUGGUAGAGCCCUUGCCUAGUGUGUAUGAGGACCUGGGUUUCAUUCCCUGCAUU
rnacentral:tRNA from 1 species